rnacentral:rRNA from 1 species
CCCUAUUAUUUUUGAAUGUUAAUGUUUGUUUGCCUGAGUAGUAUUAGUUAUGUUCUUGAAACUUAAAGAAUUUGGCGGUAUCUCAUUCCGUUCAGAGGAAUCUGUCUCGUUAUCGAUAGUCCACGUUGGACCUUACUUGGUUGGUUAUUAAGGUUUGUAUACCGCCGUUUAUUGAUUAUCUUUUUAGAGUUUAUUUAAUUUUCUUGUUUCUUUAUUUUGAUUUAUUUCAGGUCAAGGUGCAGCUUGUUUCUAAGUGAAUGAUGGAUUACAUUAAUAUUUGUUUUUGGAUUGUUUUGGUUUAAAGUACUGACAUGAAAUUGGAUUUGGUUGUAAUGAUUUGUAGACUGUUAUUAUGAUAAAUGGUUCUGGGAUAUGUACACAUCGCCCGUCGCUCUCGUUCUAAAUUAUUGUUAAUGAGAUAAGUC